ACAAAGAAGAGUUUGAUCCUGGCUCAGGAUGAACGCUAGCGAUAGGCUUAACACAUGCAAGUCGAGGGGCAGCAUAGAGUCAGCUUGCUGAUUUGGAUGGCGACCGGCGGAUGGGUGCGUAACGCGUAUGCAACUUACCUGUCAGAGGGGGAUAACCCGGAGAAAUUCGGACUAANGUAGGUGAGGUAACGGCUCACCUAGGCGACGAUGGAUAGGGGAACUGAGAGGUUAAACCCCCACACUGGUACUGAGACACGGACCAGACUCCUACGGGAGGCAGCAGUGAGGAAUAUUGGUCAAUGGGCGAGAGCCUGAACCAGCCAAUUCGCGUGAAGGAUGACUGCCCUAUGGGUUGUAAACUUCUUUAGUAGGGGAUUAAAGUUUGCCUUGCGAGGCAAUUUGCAAGUACCCUAAGAAUAAGUAUCGGCUAACUCCGUGCCAGCAGCCGCGGUAAUACGGAGGAUACGAGCGUUAUCCGGAUUUAUUGGGUUUAAAGGGUGCGUAGGUUGCUUUUUAAGUCAGUGGUGAAAAGCUGUGGCUCAACCAUAGUCUUGCCGUUGAAACUGAGGAGCUUGAGUGUAGAUGCUGUAGGCGGAACGCGUAGUGUAGCGGUGAAAUGCAUAGAUAUUACGCAGAACUCCGAUUGCGAAGGCAGCUUACAAAGUUACAACUGACACUGAAGCACGAGAGCGUGGGUAUCAAACAGGAUUAGAUACCCUGGUAGUCCACGCCGUAAACGAUGAUUACUAAGAGUAUGCGAUAUAAUGUAUGUUCUACAGCGAAAGCGUUAAGUAAUCCACCUGGGGAGUACGUCGGCAACGAUGAAACUCAAAGGAAUUGACGGGGGCCCGCACAAGCGGAGGAACAUGUGGUUUAAUUCGAUGAUACGCGAGGAACCUUACCCGGGAUUGAAAUGUGCAUGACGUAGACCGGAGACGGUUUAUACCCUUCGGGGCAUGUAUGUAGGUGCUGCAUGGUUGUCGUCAGCUCGUGCCGUGAGGUGUCGGCUUAAGUGCCAUAACGAGCGCAACCCACAUUGUCAGUUACUANAGCUGAGGACUCUGGCGAGACUGCCGGCGUAAGCCGUGAGGAAGGUGUGGAUGACGUCAAAUCAGCACGGCCCUUACAUCCGGGGCGACACACGUGUUACAAUGGUGAGGACAAAGGGCAGCUACCUGGCGACAGGGUGCGAAUCUCCAAACCUCAUCUCAGUUCGGAUCGGAGUCUGCAACUCGACUCUGUGAAGCUGGAUUCGCUAGUAAUCGCGCAUCAGCCAUGGCGCGGUGAAUACGUUCCCGGGCCUUGUACACACCGCCCGUCAAGCCAUGGAAGUCGGGAGUACCUGAAGUACGUCACCGCGAGGAUCGUACUAGGGUAAUACCGGUAACUGGGGCUAAGUCGUAACAAGGUAGCCGUACCGGAAGGUGCGGCUGGAACACCUCCUUUCUGGAGC
rnacentral:rRNA from 1 species